UACGGAGGAUGCAAGCGUUAUCCGGAAUGAUUGGGCGUAAAGCGUCCGCAGGUGGCUAUGUAAGUCUGCUGUUAAAGAGUGAGGCUCAACCUCAUAAGAGCAGUGGAAACUACAUGGCUAGAGUGGCGUUCGGGGGCAGAGGGAAUUCCUGGUGUAGCGGUGAAAUGCGUAGAUAUCAGGAAGAACACCCGUGGCGAAGGCGGCAUCCUGGACCGGCAUUGA
rnacentral:rRNA from 1 species